GCUCCCAUGGCGUAGUGGUCACUGCGCUCGCCUUGCACGUGGGAGGCCCGAGUUCGAUUUCCGGCGGGAUCA
rfam:Asian citrus Psyllid, Diaphorina citri - Florida Strain, whole genome shotgun sequence.